UACGGGGGGGGCAAGCGUUGUUCGGAAUUACUGGGCGUAAAGGGCUCGUAGGCGGUUUUGUAAGUCAGUGGUGAAAGCCCAUCGCUCAACGGUGGAACGGCCAUUGAUACUGCAAGACUUGAAUUAUUGGGAAGUAACUAGAAUAUGUAGUGUAGCGGUGAAAUGCUUAGAGAUUACAUGGAAUACCAAUUGCGAAGGCAGGUUACUACCAAUAUAUUGACGCUGAUGGACGAAAGCGUGGGGAGCGAACAGG
rnacentral:rRNA from 1 species